ACGCCUUCGCCGCGCCGUUCCACCUUCAGGGUCGGCGAGGCCGUCUCCGCCACCACCUGGGGGAGGGGCUCCAGCGAAGACUUUUUCAGGGUCCAAACUACAGUUGUGACGUAAGUUUCAAGCCCCCCAACGCAUGUCCCCCUGACAGCAGUAUCUCCUUGAGAGCACAUCGAACCACCUCCAUGUCCAAAUACAGGCACCCACAGCAGCCACCCUGCCAGAAAUAAACCAUAAGAGGCCCGAUUGGCAGACCCAACACCCAGAGACUUCGGCAUUAGUUGAUUUGACUGUUCAAAGUGAAAGUUCCUAUGUUUGUCAGGAAAAAAAAAUACAUCGAAACAACUUGGUGACAUUUAAAAUUCGUUACUCAUUUCCUUUCAGCUCAAAUUUGGCCCUUUCUGCUCCAAAUAAAAACUUGUCUCAUUGAAGUAUA